AUCAACUUUCGAUGGUAGGAUAGAGGCCUACCAUGGUGGUAACGGGUAACGGGGUGUUAGGGCACGACACCGGAGAGGGAGCCUGAGAAACGGCUACCACAUCCAAGGAUGGCAGCAGGCGCGCAAAUUACCCAAUCCCGACACGGGGUGGUAGUGACAAUAAAUAACAAUACGGGGUUCUUUUGGAUCUCGUAAUUGGAAUGAGUACAAUUUAAAUCUCUUAACGAGGAACAAUUGGAGGGCAAGUCUGGUGCCAGCAGCCGCGGUAAUUCCAGCUCCAAUAGCGUAUAUUAAAGUUGUUGCAGUUAAAAAGCUCGUAGUUGAAUUUCAGGCCUGGCUGGACGGUCCGCCCUUCGGGUGAGUACUGUCUGUGGUCGGGUCCUACCUUCUGGCGAAGCGUCAUGGCCUUAACCGGCCGUGGCGGGGAACCAGGACUUUUACUGUGAAAAAAUUAGAGUGUUCAAAGCAGGCAAUCGCUUGGAUACAUUAGCAUGGAAUAAUGGAAUAGGACAAUGGUUCUAUUUGUUGGUUUCUAGGACCGUUGUAAUGAUUAAUAGGGAUAGUUGGGGGCAUUAGUAUUCAAUUGUCAGAGGUGAAAUUCUUGGAUUUAUUGAAGACUAACUACUGCGAAAGCAUUUGCCAAGGAUGUUUUCAUUAAUCAAGAACGAAAGUUAGGGGGUCGAAGACGAUCAGAUACCGUCGUAGUCUUAACCAUAAACUAUGCCGACUAGGAAUCGGGCGAUGUUGAAAAAAUGACGCGCUCGGCACCUCAUGGGAAACCAAAGUGUUUGGGUUC
rnacentral:rRNA from 1 species